UGGAGAAACUUUUUUAGGGUUCCGUUUUAUGCCAUUUGGCUACGGAACCCUAAAAAAGGUUUAUUGUAUAAACAAAAUCAUGUUAACCUGCAUUAUACUACUAAGUUUUAAGAGAAAUUCAAUAUGUCAAAUCACAUCUGUAUCGUAUAUGUAUUUAUUCGCAUGCAAAAUUAAAACCAAAAACUUAAAAAAUACUGACAAAUCAGUCGUCAACUUUUUAAAAUUUGAAAAACGCAAAUUGUAUUAGUCUCAAAAAUGUGUUAAAUUUUAUAUAAAAAAAUUACGUGAAGAAGUAGAUUACUAACCAUUGUAAGGUACCUGAUCCAUGUAAGGCCCAGUGCCUAAAAAGCCCACUUUUGAAAAUGCGCCCCCCGCGCUUUGAUUGCCAGGUCAAAAUCCUAGUAAGGCUAAAUGACUACACUAAAACCUAUCAUUUCUCAGUUCCUACUAGUUUUUUAUACGGAAUUUGUGACUUCCUGAGUUUUACUACGGUAAAAGGUAACUUAACAUGCUACUUACUAUGUUUAGAGGCAUAGAAAUCUGUAGUAAUCAUAAUAAUUGUGCCGGUUUUGGAGCAGGUGUCUCUGUAAUCGGGCGAGUACUUACGAGAUGGAUACAAAUAAAAUAAAAAAUGAAUUUCUAAUAAUUAGUUACCAACCUUACCUACUAGGUUUUUAUGUCGGGCAGCCAAAAUCAGCCUUUAACACCCUUCGCAUAAAAAUAAAGGAUGAAUCUCAUGCAUUACGGAAUCGCUGUAGUACAAUACGCGGAGAUGAUCAGAGGCUUCACAUUCAUAAUUCCGUUGAAUUUCGGGACCCGCUCAAGUUUGGUAGUUUCUUAAGUUACUUGGAGUUAGAAAACUAUUAUAAAGCUCAAUUAACACCUUUUUUGAUCUCGACUCCCUUAAUCUGCACUUCUUUUCUUCUGAAACUUUUUCUCGUUAAGUAAAAUACACUAAACUUCCCUUCUAAUGCAUCAACUUAACUUUUUUUAAUGUUCGUCUCGUCUAAGGCCGUUGGAAACGACGAUCCGAGCCAAAACAUGAUCCUCCCUCUAAUCGACCUUAUUGAUCAUAUCAUCAAGCCCUAUUUUUUCUUAUAUUUUCCCGUCGCUUUGGUAAGAUGCCGUUAGAAAGUCCAAUUCCAAGUCCUUCUCAAACUACCGCUCUAUUUAUUUCCAUUUCUUCGUUUCCUCUCUAAAGUUCUUGAGUGUCUUUUGUACAUAAACAGAUUACCGUUUUGAACAGACAUGCGCUCACGAACCCAUAUUAACCCGGUUACCCUAUACGGCACAGCACAAUUAUCGCUCUUGUAAAAAAUACUGCAGAUAUACGUGCAGAUAUGGUAUAUCACGGUGUUAUCAUUCUUGGAUUUCGAUAAUGCUUUAAACACGGGUGACUUCGACAUCUUAGUACGCAUAUUGUGUUCUCUUAAUGUAUUUCCUGUGACAGUGAACUAGUUCCAUAGUUAUUAAGUGGGGCGUCAACAGAGGUGAAUUGCUUUUAAUCUUCAUUGUGCCUGCACAGGACGGGGCAGCGUGUUGUCUCCUGUUUCAUUUCCUUACUUUAUUAACUCUAACACGUUAUAUUAUCUUCUUCUACCACUUUAAGCAUACUGUCAAGGCUCUUUUACUCAUCUACCAUAGACUAUCUGCACCAUGAACAUGAACACUAAUUUAGAAAGCAUUUUGAUUUGGACUUUCACGUUACGGUCUCAAGGUAAAUCCACCGAAAUUUAAGUUAUAGUGAUAGGUACCUAGGUCAAAGUGUUCAAGGUGUAUUUUCUUCUACCACAUUGAUCAUGGCUGGUUCACAAGACUCUCUGCAGACGGCAUUGCAAGCACGCCGCGAAGAGCAGCGUCGCCGAGAAGAGCAGCAGCGGCGAGAUGCGGAGCGUCGUUAAGAAGAGAAGCGGCAACGAGAGGAGCAGGCUCGGCGAGCUGGGGAGAGUCGCAAAGAACAUGAGCGUCGGCAAGAUCAGCUUGUAACGUUAUACGUUACAUGAAAGUACUAUUAUUUAAAUAAACUACAUGAAUAAAUGAAAAUACCACUUAAAACUAAUUUUACAAAUUAAUAUUUUCAAUUUUAAACAUAAACAUGCAACAAGUAUUCGUCGGCGCCGUUUUAGCGCUCUUCGAAAGAUUUCGUAUGCCACAUUUUAGCGCUCACGGUAACGAGUUCUUUUGUUUGUUGAAUAUACUUAUAGGGAGUUGCAUUAGCGGAUCGCUCCCACCAUUCCCGAACUGCACUCGAGAUAGAACACACGUCACACGGAUCAUCGGUCUCUGAUACGUACCUAAUUUUUGAAAAUGUAACCGAUAUGAUAUAAUUAAUAUGCGUGUUGUCAUCUCUUAACGUUCCUCAAAGUGUUUAGCGUCGUAAAUACGUUAAAUGUUAUAACGCGAGUGUGAAUAAACCCCAAAUUGGGGUCCAACGUUCGGGCUGCUAUUUUGGGUGGAGGAUCCACCGCAGCCACACCUACCACCAACGCUACUCUCGCCAGUAGCAGGGCGAGCUCUUCAUCAAGCCCCGGGCAGCCAAGUACAGUCGUCCACAAUUGCGGCGCCCGCGUACACCACCGACGGCACAACCCAGGCGAGAGUACCUAACCGCAAAAUGGAUAGGAUCUUUGUGUGAAUUUAUAAAACCAAACCUGCGACCCAUUUUAGUUAAGUGGCCCCCGCGUAUUCCGCAUCGUUGUUUUUUUAUUUUUUAUUUUAAAUUAAAUGUUUUUAUUUUUUAUUUUGCA